rnacentral:rRNA from 1 species
AUUGAACGCUGGCGGCAGGCCUAACACAUGCAAGUCGAGCGAGCGGCGGACGGGUGAGUAAUGUCUGGGAAACUGCCUGAUGGAGGGGGAUAACUACUGGAAACGGUAGCUAAUACCGCAUACCAUCAGAUGUGCCCAGAUGGGAUUAGCUAGGAGGUGGGGUAAUGGCUCACCUAGGCGACGAUCCCUAGCUGGUCUGAGAGGAUGACCAGCUACACGGGAACGGAAACACGGUCCAGACGACCACGGAAGGCAGAAGUGGGGAAUAUUGCCAAAUGGGCAGAAGCCAGAUGUGACAAUGCCGCGUGAGUGAAGAAGGCCAUCGGGUUGGAAAGCACUUUCAGCGGGGAAGCGUUAACCGCAGAAGAAGCAACGGCUAACUCCGUGCCAGCAGCCGCGGUAAUAC